UUGGAGGGCAAGUCUGGUGCCAGCAGCCGCGGUAAUUCCAGCUCCAAUAGCGUAUAUUAAAGUUGUUGCAGUUAAAAAGCUCGUAGUUGAAUUUCGGGAUCAAUAUAUCGGUCAUGCUUAGGUAUGUACUGGUAUUAUUGAUUUCUCCCUUCUGAAGAACCAUGAUGUCAUUUAUUUGAUGUCGUGGGGAAUCAGGACUGUUACUUUGAAAAAAUUAGAGUGUUUAAAGCAGGCUUUCGCUUGAAUACAUUAGCAUGGAAUAAUGAAAUAGGACGUUUGAUUCUAUUUUGUUGGUUUCUAGGAUCGACGUAAUGAUUAAUAGGGAUAGUUGGGGGCAUUAGUAUUCAAUUGUCAGAGGUGAAAUUCUUGGAUUUAUUGAAGACUAACUACUGCGAAAGCAUUUGCCAAGGAUGUUUUCAUUAAUCAAGAACGAAAGUUAGGGGAUCGAAGACGAUCAGAUACCGUCGUAGUCUUAACCAUAAAACUAUGCCGAGCUAGGGAUCGGAUGAUGUUAAUUUUUUAAUGACUCAUUCGGCGCCUUACGGGAAAC
rnacentral:rRNA from 1 species